rnacentral:pre_miRNA from 1 species
UGAGGUAGUAGUUUGUGCUGUUGGUCGGGCUGUGACAUUGCCCGCUGUGGAGAUAACUGCGCAAGCUACUGCCUUGC